GGUUUCGUAGUGUAGUGGUUAUCACGUAUGCUUCACACACGCAUAAGGUCCUCGGUUCAAACCCGAGCGGAACCA
rnacentral:tRNA from 1 species